rnacentral:rRNA from 1 species
AGGUCAAGCUAUAAAGAGCGCAAGGGGAAUGCCUUGGCAUCAGGAGCCGAUGAAGGACGUGACAAGCUGCGAUAAGCUGCGGUGAGCUGCACAUAAGCAUUGACCCGCAGAUUUCCGAAUGGGGAAACCCGGCAGAGCAAUACUCUGUCAGCCUGCGUUGAAUCAAAUAGGCGUAGGUGGGGAACCGCCUGAACUGAAACAUCUAAGUAGGGCGAGGAAGAGAAAUCAACAGAGAUUCCGCAAGUAGUGGCGAGCGAACGCGGAAGAGGGCAAACCGAAGGAUUUAUCCUUUGGGGUUGUGGACCGACACAACGGCAGGAUAGGUUAGCCGAACGGUAUGGGAAGGCCGGCCAUAGCGGGUGAGAGCCCCGUAGGCGAAAACCGAGUCCUGUUAGUCGAGUUCCAGAGUACCGCCGGACACGUGAAACCCGGUGGGAAACUGGGGGGACCACCCUCCAACCCUAAAUACUACCUGAUGACCGAUAGAGGAGCAGUACCGUGAGGG